AUACUUACCUGGCAGGGGAGAUACCAUGAUCACGAAGGUGGUUUUCCCAGGGCAAGGCUCACCCAUUGCACUCUGGGUGUGCUGACCCCUACGAUUUCUCCAAGUGUGGGAAACUCGACUGCAUAAUUUGUGGUAGUGGGGGGACUGCGUUGGCACUCUCCCCUG
rnacentral:snRNA from 1 species